GAGACCGCUGGCGCUAAGUCAGAGGAAGGAGUGGUCGACGGUAGGUCAGUAUGCCCCGAAUAUCCCGGGCUACACGCGGGCUACAAUGGACUGGACAAUGGGUAACAACACCGAAAGGUGAGGUCAAUCUCUUAAACCUGUCCUUAUUCCGGAUUGAGGGCUGAAACUCGCCCUCAUGAAGAUGGAAUCCGUAGUAAUCGCAUUUCAAAACAGUGCG
rnacentral:rRNA from 1 species